rnacentral:rRNA from 1 species
CCUACGGGUUGCACCAGUGGGGAAUAUUGGACAAUGGGCGAAAGCCUGAUCCAGCAAUGCCGCGUGUGUGAAGAAGGUCUUCGGAUUGUAAAGCACUUUCGACGGGGACGAUGAUGACGGUACCCGUAGAAGAAGCCCCGGCUAACUUCGUGCCAGCAGCCGCGGUAAUACGAAGGGGGCUAGCGUUGCUCGGAAUGACUGGGCGUAAAGGGCGCGUAGGCGGUUUAUGCAGUCAGAUGUGAAAUCCCCGGGUUUAACCCGGGAACUGCAUUUGAAACGGAUAGGCUAGAGGUCGAGAGAGGGUUGUGGAAUUCCCAGUCUAGAGGUGAAAUUCGUAGAUAUUGGGAAGAACACCGGUGGCGAAGGCGGCAACCUGGCUCGGUACUGACGCUGAGGCGCGAAAGCGUGGGGAGCAAACAGGAUUAGAUACCCUGGUAGUC